rfam:Teredinibacter turnerae T7901, complete genome.
CGAGCUGGCCAGACAAUCGCGUCGUACUUUAGUGCGAGGAGGAAAGUCCGGGCUCCAAAGGGUGGAACGCCAGGUAACGCCUGGGGGGCGAGAGCCUACGGAAAGUGCAGCAGAGAGUAGACCGCCGAUGGCCCUAGUGGCACAGGUAAGGGUGAAAGGGUGCGGUAAGAGCGCACCGCGCGUCUGGUAACAGUUCGUGGCACGGUAAACCCCGUUCGGAGCAAGACCAAAUAGGAAUCCUACAGGUGUGACCCGCACUGGAUUCGGGUAGGUCGCUUGAGGUGUGUGGUGACACAUAUCCCAGAUGAAUGAUUGUCCUCGACAGAACCCGGCUUAUCGGCCAGCUCAAUUC